CCCUUAGAUGUUCUGGGCCGCACGCGCGCUACACUGACGAAUGCAACGAGCUUAUAACCUUGGCCGAAAGGUCUGGGUAAUCUCCAAAUUUCGUCGUGAUGGGGAUAGAUUAUUGCAAUUAUUAAUCUUCAACGAGGAAUGCCUAGUAAGCGCAAGUCAUCAGCUUGCGUUGAUUACGUCCGUGCCCUUUGUACACACCGCCCGUCGCUCCUACCGAUUGAAUGGUCCGGUGAAGCGUUCGGACCGUGGCCUUUGGACGGUUCGCCGUCUGUUGGCUGCGGGAAGUUCGUUAAACCUUAUCAUUUAGAGGAAGGAGAAGUCGUANCA
rnacentral:rRNA from 1 species